ACUGUCUCAAUUUUCUUAAUGUUUAUUUACAUACCCUAGCAACCAAAGUCCGUAACAGCUAGGAAAGAAAAUAUUCUGUUUCGUUUGCCGUAAGAAUCAAAUGUGAACUCGGAUAAGCGAAGCUUUUGUUGGACUUUGGCAAAAUUAGCUUCUUUUGAAACAUUUUCGUCUAAACAGUGUCUAAAACGUGAAGUAGUAGUUCCAAAUCUCAGUCAAGAAAAAUGUCUCGCGAUCCUCACAACGUUUUGUUUAUUUUGGAGAGCUAGGCAACAACGCCAGCAAUCCGAAUAGUGGAGCUCCUGGCAAGUGGUCUUAAUGAUGAAACAGUUUUGUUCCGCUUUGGCAAUUAAUCGAAUCAUUAUGUGCUGCCAAAACAACCCGCUAUUUUUUCAACAGUUGCUGCUGCUUUCUAGCCACAGAGAUCAGAAAGAUCUUUUGGAAGAAAAACAUAUACCAGAAAGACGGCGCAUCCGGAUCUUGCCAAGAAGCAAAAUAACACGAAAAUUUCAACACGCGAUUAUCAGUCCAGACGGCGACAUCCUCCGGUAAGGGACGACAUUUCGUCAUCGCCUUUGAAGCAGUAGUUUUUUUUUAUAAAUUUUUCUAAGUACUCAUGCGUCGCGCUACUGUUUUAUGCAAGGAUCGGCCAGUAUGCAGAAGUCGCGCAUGUGUUCCCGCUAUUUCGGUAUUCAAGUACAUUCCGACGCAGGCGCGCACUUUGAAGCCAGGAUCAUUAACGACGCUGUAUGCUGCUGACUCGUUUGUGGCAGAAUCAGAUCACGAGGAAGGGUUUUCUGAACAGCGGAGCUUGUUUAGAUUGGAUGCCGCUGGAAAAUCGAAUAGAUUGCUAGCAAGGCCGCCAUUGUUGAGGAAGAGGAUGCGUCAAACGGUGCUGUAUCGCCCCCCGCUGGGCUACUGACCAACGUGUAAUCGUUCCUGCUGUCCAACAAGACGAUCGGAUUCGCUCGCUCGAAGGCACCAAGCGGAGGAUACCGAACCGCUAUCGGAACCAACGCAAAUUCCGCUGAUCGAUCGUGUCAUUUGUACUUUACCACGAACCGCUAUACUCUGGGUUGAUCGCGGUUCGGGCAAGAUGCUACACCGGAAAUUGUAUCGUACCGAAACCGAAUGAGUCAACGUCCAUCUGUUUCCUGUGUCCGACAGCAGACUCGUAGCAACACACAAGCACUAAUUUUGGAAAAUGAACGCAAAUUAGAGGGCGAGAGCUUUACAAACGAUUCACUUGUUCACAAUAUAAAAGCAACAGAGGUACGAAUCCUCCUGCACCCCGGUAAAAGUCAAGAGGGAGGUGACCCAACCUUUGCGGGUUGAACUCAUCAUAAAGGAAACGUUUCCAAUAUCAAUCGUCCCAUGUGAACCGAAUCCGCUCGAGUUGCCGAUACAGAUCAAGGCAGGGUUUUCUGAACGGCGACAGUUGUCCAAAUUGGAUUCUGCUGAAGCAAAAUCAAAGAUUUUGCCAACACGGCCGCAAUUGUUCAAACGGUGCGGGUAAGCUAGAUGACGAAUAAAUGCAAAACCCUACUGGGCUACCGAUCAACGAGUAAUUAUUCCUGCUGUCUGAAGAGUCGACUGGGCUCGCUCGAUCAAGUAUACCAAACAGAGGAUACUGAGUCGCUAUCGGAAGCGACACCAAUACCGCUAUUCUAUCGAUUCGUGUCGUUUUAUCACGAACCGCUAUAUCCCGCGCUGAUUGUGGUCUGGAACGAAAUGCUACACCUGAUUGCAAGAGAAUUCUAAUCGUACUGAAACGGAAUGAGUCAACGCCCAUCUGCUUCCAGUGUGCGGAAAUAAGAUUUCAGGUCGCCGGAUACCACACGGCCACAGCUCCUUGUAACAGGUGGAAUCCGCAACGUAUCAAUGAUUAUUAGAAUAAAUCUUAGAUGUAGAUAAUGAAAUUCUUUUAA